rnacentral:lncRNA from 1 species
GUUUAUUUUGUAAAUCUCUCAUUUCAUUGCAUAGUCUGUAUGUUCUCCAAAUUUAUAUAGGGAUAUUAGCAUUCUUAUAAUUUUUAGGAUAUUUAAUAAGUCUGUGGAUUAACAUGAGCCAGAUGCUAAGUUCUCUGUAUAUUGAUGUGUAGUAAUACCUUCCUCCUUCAUGCAUCUUCAUAUCUAAGAAUAAUACAUAACUAUUGUAAAAAUAGUUAUGUAUUAUUCUUAGAUAUCUUCAUAUAGAACAAUUCUGACUUAAGAAAAAAGAUAUAAAAAUUCCAUAAAAUUAUUGCUAAAAAAAAGAUAUGCAUUAUAUCUUCAACUUUAGCAGUCAUAAAAAUUUAUUUACAUAGCAGAUAUAGAAAAGAAGACAUUGUUCAGGGCUGUUUCUUAUAAGUUUCAACUUGUAAGAAACAGCCCUGAAUAAUGAGCAAUUUCAUAAAUGAUUAAAUAAAAGAAGAAAAUUAACUCAGACUUAAACAUCAUGCAUAUGACUCAUAAUUAUAUGUUAAAUUAAGAGUUGUAGGCAUAUGCACCCACAACUUUCAAUUUAGCAUUUUCUCUUGAGACAGCUUCACAUCAAUACAAUAUUUCAAUAAUCUGAAACAUUAUAAUUCAUCAAUAAUCCAAAACAUGCUUUCCAAUUACAUAAAUUUGUUCAUCUGUUUCAGAUUUACUCCAUUCAGUUUAAUCUUGCACUUUGUAUACUCCUUAUCACAUACACUCAUAGUUUUUGUCUUUCCUGUAUUGAUUUUCAUCUAUUAUUGUUUAUGUGCCUCAUUAAAUCAUGCAGUGAGCUCUCUCAAGCAUUUUAUUCUCGUACAGAUAGGCAAAUAGUGUCAUCAACAUAUAGCAGACAGCAAACAUUCAUUAGUCAAUCAAUUAUUUUAACUGUCCAUUAUAGAUCAUUUGACAACAAAAUGCAAUAGGAUGGUAGGACACAGUUGCAUCAGAUGACAUAAUGUAGUAGUUCUCUGCAUUCAUUUUAAUCUAUGUAAUAAGUUCAGCUUGUAAGCAAUCAAUUUAUAUGUUACAGUAAAAGUGAUUGAUCCAGUGAUUAUGCAUAAUCCCCAGUUAUUAUGUAUAAUCAAUGAUUUCAGUAAAUUUGAUAAAUUUAUUUUGUAUAUUGCGAAUGAAUCACAUUUGCUGGUGAUUAUGCAUAAUUGACAGUUUGUACUGGUAAAUAUGAUAAAUUGUGCUUAAUUAAUCAAAUUUACCAAACAUUAUGCAUAAUUGCCAGUCUAGAAUGUAAAUUUAAUAAAUAAUGCAUUUUCGUCAAAUAACCUUUAUUUUAACUGUCCAUUAUGGAUCAUUUGGCAACAAAAUGCAAUAGGAUGGUAGGACACGAUUACAUCAGAUGACAUAUUGUAGUAGUUCUCUGCAUUCAUUUUUCAUUUAUGUAAUAAGUUUAGCUUUAAGCAAUC